AGGUGGUGCAGCGGCUGGCCG
rnacentral:misc_RNA from 1 species